GAGUGGACAGUUUAUGCUGUAGUGUUGAGGUGGAUGUUCUACCGCUGUAGUGUUGAGGUGGAUGUCCUACCACUGUAGUGUUGAGGUGGAUGUCCUACCACUGUAGUGUUGAGGUGGAUGUCCUGUAGUGUUGAGGCGGAUGUCCUACCACUGUAGUGUUGAGGUGGAUGUCCUGUAGUGUUGAGGUGGAUGUCCUACCACUGUAGUGUUGAGGUGGAUGUCCUACCGCUGUAGUAUUGAGGUGGAUGUCCUGUAAUGUUGACGUGGAUGUUCUACCGCUGUAGUGUUGAGGUGGAUGUCCUACCGCUGUAAUGUUGAGGUGGAUGUCCUGUAGUGUUGAGGUGGAUGUCCUGUAAUGUUGAGGUGGAUGUUCUACCGCUGUAGUGUUGAGGUGGAUGUUCUACCGCUGUAGUGUUGAGGUGGAUGUCCUGUAGUGUUGAGGUGGAUGUCCUGUAGUGUUGAGGUGGAUGUCCUGUAGUGUUGAGGUGGAUGUCCUACCGCUGUAGUGUUGAGGUGGAUGUUCUACCGCUGUAGUGUUGAGGUGGAUGUCCUACCGCUGUAAUGUUGAGGUGGAUGUCCUGUAGUGUUGAGGUGGAUGUCCUACCUCUGUAGUGUUGAGGUGAGUGGUCUGAACACUCCUUCCUCCCAGAGGGCUCCAUAAUAUCUGAGCAGCUUUAUUACUGACUAUACUGUGGAAACAAAAUAGCAGGAAAUGAUUUGACUCAUGAGGAAAGAGAAACAAAGGAUCUAAAUCCAGUAGUGGAUGUGUAUCUC
rnacentral:lncRNA from 1 species